rnacentral:sRNA from 1 species
CGACCGGGCUUUUGCCGACAACCCAGGACCGAUGGUUGUGUUUGCCACGCCAGGAAUGCUGCACGCUGGGCAGUCCCUGCAGAUCUUCCGGAAAUGGGCCGGAAAUGAAAAGAACAUGGUCAUCAUGCCCGGCUACUGCGUGCAGGGCACCGUCGGCCACAAGAUCCUCAGCGGUCAGCGGAAGCUCGAGAUGGAGGGGCGGCAGGUGGUGAGUCCCAACCCCGCACUGGGCUGGCAGGGCCAAGGGACGCCUCCUGGAGGUAACCGCUGUCCGCGCCCCGCGGCCUCUGCAGCUGGAGGUCAAGAUGCAGGUGGAGUACAUGUCAUUCAGUGCACACGCAGACGCCAAGGGCAUCAUGCAGCUGGUGGGCCAGGCAGAGCCGGAGAGCGUGCUGUUGGUGCAUGGCGAGGCCAAGAAGAUGGAGUUCCUGAAGCAGAAGAUCGAGCAGGAGCUCCGUAGGCAGCCAGGCGGGCGGUGUGGGGCCCACCUCGGGUCAGCGCAGGCAGCCUGGGCUGAGGCUCUCUCUUCCCCCGGGGUCCAGGGGUCAGCUGCUACAUGCCGGCCAAUGGUGAGACGGUGACGCUGCCCACAAGCCCCAGCAUCCCCGUAGGCAUCUCGCUGGGGCUGCUGAAGCGGGAGAUGGCGCAGGGGCUGCUCCCUGAGGCCAAGAAGCCUCGGCUCCUGCACGGCACCCUGAUCAUGAAGGACAGUGUGAGUGCCAGGACGGCCUCUGGAGGGGGGAGGGCUGCUGCUGCGCUCCCUGACCUGUCCCUGCCCCACAGAACUUCCGGCUGGUGUCCUCAGAGCAAGCCCUCAAAGAGCUGGGUCUGGCUGAGCACCAGCUGCGCUUCACCUGCCGCGUGCACCUGCAUGACACGCGCAAGGA